rnacentral:rRNA from 1 species
GACGAACGCUGGCGGCGUGCUUAACACAUGCAAGUCGAGCGAUGAAGCACCUUCGGGUGUGAAUUAGCGGCGAACGGGUGAGGAACACGUGAGAAAUCUGCCUUCAACACUGGGAUAACUCCGGGAAACCGGGGCUAAUACCGGAUAUGAAACCUGCGGGCAUCCGCGGGUUUGGAAAGUUUUUCGGUUGAAGAUGAUCUCGCGGCCUAUCAGCUUGUUGGUGAGGUAAUGGCUCACCAAGGCGACGACGGGUAGCCGGCCUGAGAGGGCGACCGGCCACACUGGGACUGAGACACGGCCCAGACUCCUACGGGAGGCAGCAGUGGGGAAUAUUGGGCAAUGGAGGAAACUCUGACCCAGCGACGCCGCGUGCGGGAUGAAGGCCUGGGUGUAAACCGCUUCAGCAGGAGAAGCGAAAGUGACGGUACCUGCAGAAGAAGCACCGGCUAACUAUGUG